GGUGCCUAUACUGCAGUCGACGAACUCUGGUAUUGAUUGGUGCUUGCAUCAUGAUUUACAUUUGAGUGAGUGGCGAACUGGUGAGUAACACGUGGGAAACCUGCCCAGAAGCGGGGGAUAACACCUGGAAACAGAUGCUAAUACCGCAUAACAACUUGGACCGCAUGGUCCGAGUUUGAAAGAUGGCUUCGGCUAUCACUUUUGGAUGGUCCCGCGGCGUAUUAGCUAGAUGGUGGGGUAACGGCUCACCAUGGCAAUGAUACGUAGCCGACCUGAGAGGGUAAUCGGCCACAUUGGGACUGAGACACGGCCCAAACUCCUACGGGAGGCAGCAGUAGGGAAUCUUCCACAAUGGACGAAAGUCUGAUGGAGCAACGCCGCGUGAGUGAAGAAGGGUUUCGGCUCGUAAAACUCUGUUGUUAAAGAAGAACAUAUCUGAGAGUAACUGUUCAGGUAUUGACGGUAUUUAACCAGAAAGCCACGGCUAACUACGUGCCAGCAGCCGCGGUAAUACGUAGGUGGCAAGCGUUGUCCGGAUUUAUUGGGCGUAAAGCGAGCGCAGGCGGUUUUUUAAGUCUGAUGUGAAAGCCUUCGGCUCAACCGAAGAAGUGCAUCGGAAACUGGGAAACUUGAGUGCAGAAGAGGACAGUGGAACUCCAUGUGUAGCGGUGAAAUGCGUAGAUAUAUGGAAGAACACCAGUGGCGAAGGCGGCUGUCUGGUCUGUAACUGACGCUGAGGCUCGAAAGUAUGGGUAGCAAACAGGAUUAGAUACCCUGGUAGUCCAUACCGUAAACGAUGAAUGCUAAGUGUUGGAGGGUUUCCGCCCUUCAGUGCUGCAGCUAACGCAUUAAGCAUUCCGCCUGGGGAGUACGGCCGCAAGGCUGAAACUCAAAGGAAUUGACGGGGGCCCGCACAAGCGGUGGAGCAUGUGGUUUAAUUCGAAGCUACGCGAAGAACCUUACCAGGUCUUGACAUACUAUGCAAAUCUAAGAGAUUAGACGUUCCCUUCGGGGACAUGGAUACAGGUGGUGCAUGGUUGUCGUCAGCUCGUGUCGUGAGAUGUUGGGUUAAGUCCCGCAACGAGCGCAACCCUUAUUAUCAGUUGCCAGCAUUAAGUUGGGCACUCUGGUGAGACUGCCGGUGACAAACCGGAGGAAGGUGGGGAUGACGUCAAAUCAUCAUGCCCCUUAUGACCUGGGCUACACACGUGCUACAAUGGAUGGUACAACGAGUUGCGAACUCGCGAGAGUAAGCUAAUCUCUUAAAGCCAUUCUCAGUUCGGAUUGUAGGCUGCAACUCGCCUACAUGAAGUCGGAAUCGCUAGUAAUCGCGGAUCAGCAUGCCGCGGUGAAUACGUUCCCGGGCCUUGUACACACCGCCCGUCACACCAUGAGAGUUUGUAACACCCAAAGUCGGUGGG
rnacentral:rRNA from 1 species